rnacentral:SRP_RNA from 1 species
CUGUGCUAAAGUGGGGAGAUAGCGGUGCCCUGUAACCCUGAACCCGCUAUACAGGGGCUGAAAAUCUCCUGGAAGGCAUACAGUUGUAAACCAGGGCUGAUUGAAAGGGCGAUGAAGGCAGGACCUCAAGCAGUAUCAACCCUUGAACCCCGUGAGUUCCGGAAGGAAGCAGCGGUAAAAGGGCCGGAUACCUGGCUUGAGUAAAUCUUACUGGAGCCUCGUAAAUCAGUACAGUUUGUAACUGUAUGUCGACCAGAGACGCACAG